UACGUAGGGUGCGAGCGUUGUCCGGAAUUACUGGGCGUAAAGAGCUCGUAGGUGGUUUGUCGCGUUGUUCGUGAAAACUCACAGCUUAACUGUGGGCGUGCGGGCGAUACGGGCAGACUGGAGUACUGCAGGGGAGACUGGAAUUCCUGGUGUAGCGGUGGAAUGCGCAGAUAUCAGGAGGAACACCGGUGGCGAAGGCGGAUCUCUGGGCCAUUACUGACGCUGAGGAGCGAAAGCGUGGGAGCAAACAGG
rnacentral:rRNA from 1 species